AUGCGUCAAGUACAAGAGCUUCUCGACAAAGGAGGCAUUAAUAAUAUUACUAUUCGUUAUCGUCAUCCUAUUCCUAGGCUAGAUGAUAUGCUUGAUGAAUUGAGUGGCUCUACAAUAUUCUCCAAAGUUGAUUUGCGUAGUGGCUACCAUCAAAUUCGUAUGAAAUUGGGAGAUGAAUGGAAAACAACAUUUAAAACUAAGUUUGGAUUAUAUGAGUGGUUAGUCAUGCCUUUUGGGUUAACUAAUGCACCUAGUACUUUCAUGAGAUUAAUGAACGAAGUUUUACGUGCUUUCAUUGGACGAUUUGUGGUAGUUUACUUUGAUGACAUAUUGAUUUAUAGCAGAUCUUUGGAAGAACAUUUGGAACAUUUACGUGCUGUUUUUAUUGCUCUACGUGAUGCACGUUUGUUUGGUAACCUUGGGAAGUGCACCUUUUGCACCGACCGAGUAUCUUUUCUUGGCUACGUUGUUACUCCACAGGGAAUUGAAGUUGAUAAAGCCAAGAUUGAAGCUAUUGAGAGUUGGCCGCAGCCCAAAACGGUCACACACGUGAGGAGUUUUCUUGGCCUCGCUGGAUUCUAUAGGCGUUUUGUUAGAGAUUUCAGCACCAUUGCUGCACCUCUCAAUGAGCUUACAAAGAAAGAUGUGCCUUUUCUUUGGGGUACCGCACAGGAAGAAGCCUUCUCGGUAUUGAAAGAUAAGUUGACACAUGCUCCUUUACUCCAACUUCCUGAUUUUAAUAAGACUUUUGAGCUUGAAUGUGAUGCUAGUGGAAUUGGAUUAGGCGGUGUGUUAUUACAAGAUGGCAAACCUGUUGCAUAUUUUUCUGAAAAAUUGAGUGGGCCUAGUCUGAAUUAUUCUACUUAUGAUAAAGAAUUAUAUGCUCUUGUUCGGACUUUAGAAACAUGGCAACAUUAUUUAUGGCCCAAAGAAUUUGUUAUACAUUCUGAUCAUGAAUCUUUGAAACAUAUUAAAAGUCAAGCUAAAUUGAAUCGUAGACAUGCUAAAUGGGUUGAAUUCAUUGAGACUUUUCCUUAUGUCAUUAAACACAAGAAGGGAAAAGAAAAUGUUAUUGCUGAUGCAUUGUCACGCCGCUAUACUAUGCUUUCACAACUUGACUUCAAAAUAUUUGGUUUGGAGACCAUCAAAGAUCAAUAUGUGCAUGAUGCUGAUUUUAAAGAUGUAAUGCAGAAUUGUAAAGAAGGAAGAAUGUGGAACAAGUUCGUCGUUAACAAUGGAUUUGUGUUUCGUGCUAACAAGCUAUGCAUUCCAGCUAGCUCCGUUCGUCUUUUGUUGUUGCAGGAGGCGCAUGGAGGAGGAUUAAUGGGACACUUUGGCGUGAAGAAGACGGAGGACAUACUUGCUACACAUUUCUUUUGGCCAAAGAUGAGACGGGAUGUUGAGCGGCUGUUUUGA
rnacentral:rRNA from 1 species